rnacentral:piRNA from 1 species
AAACCGACAGCCGACGGAACGGACCGCUC